UACGAGGGGGGCGAGCGUUGUUCGGAAUUAUUGGGAGUAAAGGGUGCGUAGGCGGUUUGGUAAGUCUGAUGUGAAAUCUAUGGGCUCAACUCAUAGUCUGCACGGGAAACUGCGGGGCUUGAGUGUGGGAGAGGUGAGUGGAAUUCCCGGUGUAGCGGUGAAAUGCGUAGAUAUCGGGAGGAACGCCUGUGGCGAAAGCGGCUCACUGGACCAUAACUGACGCUGAUGCACGAAAGCUGGGGGAGCAAACAGG
rnacentral:rRNA from 1 species